GGCUGCAAGGGACUGUAAAGAUCAUCCAGUUUCAACCCCCCUGCCACGGGCAGUGACACCUUCCACAAGACCAGGUUGUUUAAAGCCCCAUCGAUCCUGGCCUUGAAGGGGCUUCCACAACUUCUCUGGGAAACCUGUUCCACUGCCUCACCACCCUCACAGUGAAGAAUUUCUUCCCAACAUCUAAUCCAAACCUAAUCUAAAUUCUGUCAGUUUAAAGCCAUUAUAACCCUCGUCCUAUCGCUACAUCCUUUGUAAAAAAUCCUUCUCCCGCCCUCUUGUGGGCACCCUUUAAGUACUGGAAGGUGCUCUGAGGUCUCCCUGCAGCCUUCUCUUCUCCAGGCUGAACAACCCCAGCUGUCUGCACAAGAGAGAUGCUCCAGACCUCUAAGAAUCUUUGUGACCCUCUCUGGAGCUGCUCCAACACUUCACUUCCUUCUUUUAUCCACAUACCCACCACUUCCCUCUAGUCCUUAUCCCUGCGGCUCCCGGGCUCUGCCCUUUGGUUACCCUGCCCUGCGUGAGGGAGCAGCUCGGCCACUCUCCUUCCCGCGCUCCGGGGCGGCGCUUCCCCGCCGGGCCUGCUCCCCGGCAUUCCCGGCAUGUGGAGGAGGCUCUCCCGCUCCAGCCGCCCGAAUUGUGACCUGGGAAUAUAAAGAGAAGACUGCACAAGGGAGAUUUCUUUGGAUGGCUGGAAGGCGCCCAAGAUCUGAAGAAGGAGAUUGAGACAUCUUUAUCUAUUCAGGUGAAUUUUCAUGGGGUUUAGACAGCAAUUGCACAGCAACUUUUCCAGCACAUUUUUGUUGGGGGUGUGGAGAGAGGACCAAUAAGUGCUUUAUAAAUUUCCAUAAAAGAGUUGCUGCUCUGCCAUGAAUAACAAAAAGAGACAGUCUGAAUCCUCCUUUUUAGCUUUACUCCAGGCCCUGCUUACUGACAGUUCCUCUGGGUGUCCUCAGGCCAACACAGCUGUGCUGAGAUAGGCACUGCUACAGCAGCCACUCUCAGGUACUGCCAGUUCCCAUCCUCCUUCGCUCUGGUUUGAAACCAGGUUAGCAAAAUCAGGUUUUAAAACAUUGAGUACAAUAGGGAAGAUCAGUUCCAGGUGACUCAAAGCCUUCCCACUUUUGCCCUUCCCUUUACUACUUACCCUUUCUGACAUCAGUGCAGUAGAAGGAAACAGAAUCUCACAUGCAGGACUCUUCUCUGAACUUCAGCGCUCCAGUUUUCAAUGAUGAAAAUUUUCAAGAAUUGUCAGGACAAGAGGGUAUAGACUCAAGCUCCACCAGGGAGGUUCAGGUUGGACAUCUGUAAGAAUCUUUUCACUGAAAGGGUUUUUUAAACAUUGGAAGAGGCAGCCCAGGGAGGUGGUGGAGUCACCAUCCCUGGAAGUGUUGAAGAAACAAAUGGACCUGGCAAUUAUUGCUACAGUUUAGUUGGCGUGGUGGUGUUUGGUCAAAUGUUGGACUCAUGAUCUUGGUGGUAUUUCCCAACCUUUAAGAUUCUGUGACUCUAUGAUUCUAUUAAUUGAGCAUUUACACAUGCCUUCAUCUCCAUGUCCCUGCACAGACAGUUAAUUGAAUGGGGUGAUCCUUAUUUUGGGAGAAUAUUCUUCUCCAAUAUUCUUCCCAAAAGGUUUUACAUGCUAAUGUACAGUGGUGAAGUGUUGCUUAAAUGCUAAAUGAUGGUAUUCUGAUAAACUACAAAUCUUUGUGGUCUUCAUGAGAGCAGUAAGAGGCAUUUCUUACUGCCAGCAUCCCUCUGCUGCUCAUGGAUUCAGGGAAGAAGGUAAUAACUUAGGCAGAAAGGGAGCAAAGAGUUUACAAGUGAAAUCAUUCUUGACACUAAACCAGAGAAAAGUUGGAGUGUAAUAACAGCUAAAAGAUUGUUAGAUGUUUUUUUAGCUCACAAAAAUGUGGAGAAGCAGGUCAAUGUAAAAGAAAAGAGCUCUAAAAAUAUUUCCCCAUUUUCUUGUAUUCUCAUAAUAAAACUAAAACUACAUUUUAGAAUUUAAAACCACAAUUUUCUAAUUCUUGCACUCUAAACAUUCUGAGCUUUUUCUAGCUGUCUAUUGUACACUUAUCUGUUAAAUAUUGACUUUUAAAGUAUUUUCUCUUUGUCACUGCUUUUGAUGAUGCUGUGAUUCUGCCCAAACUUUAAAAGCAUCCAUCUAAUCUGGGAUGAAAAUGUAAAUGUCUGAAAGAUAAAUGUAAUUUAAAACUAUUUGUGCUAAACACUGUAUAUCAAGGUGUAAAGAAGAAGCAAUAUAAUAGUUAUCAAAUAUUAAUAGGGUAACUUGGUGUUUUGUUGUUUUCAUGAUUCAAGCAAAGAGAAAAGUAAAAAAGUAAACAAGCUCUUGAAUGACCUGCUGUAUGUUUAGCUGUGUCUUUUUAUAAUAACCUACUAUAUUUUGUAGUCACAACAAACAUUAUAUAGUUUACUGCCUAUAAAGUCCCUUUUAAAGUGCAUGCUAUGUCAAGAAAGGGGUUAGUAGGUACAAUUAAUUUUUAGUACUUGGAAUUAUUCCCAAUAGAAAAAGAUAAAAUUUCUUCAUGGUUAUUUUAAAGUGCAGCACACAGACAACCCCUUUAGGGCUAAUAAAUUGCUCUGUUCUUUACUAUGCUCAAUAAAAGAGAAUUUUGAUGCUCACUGCCUGCAAUUUGAUUUCCUUUGCGGCACAUUCUAAAUUCCUUAGUGAGACAAAACAUGAAUGAAGUUUGAAUGCCAGGACUCCAGAUAUCAACUCUUAUCAUAUAUCCCUAAUCUCUUUUACUUUCAAGGAUCAGAGCUUGUCUCUAGCACAGAGCUUGUCUUAAAAAUGACAAGAUCACUAUUUUAAGUUGUGAGCUAUGUGGGUUUCCCACUUAGUGUUUGAGCCUCUAGGAUGAAAAUUCACAGUCCCAUUCCAGCAGUCAAAGCUGCUACAAGGGAAGGUUUUAAUAUAAUCAGGUAACUUGGAGAGCAUCACCAAAAAUGUUUGAUACAGUGGGAUCAAGUCAGUUAUGGGAGUGGACUGUACUUUCUAUAGAGCAGAUAGUCUCUAAAAAUUGGCUGGAUCUUUCCUUUUUUUUUUUUUGUGGUGGGAAUGUCAUAGUGGCUUCCACUGACAUACUUUCUGAUUUCCCAGGAAUCCCAUUGUAUGGUAGCAAUAAGCAAAUUUGAUUUAAUUUAAUAAUGCAGUAUUCUGGAUAGAGUUUUGUACUUGUCUUUUAAAGAGGGAGGCGUGCUCAAAUCAGAACAGUAAUCAUUCAAAGCUCCAAUGUUGUCCUCUCUUGUAUUCUCCAUUGAGUCGUCAUUUCAUUUCAAUAAAUGCUUGGCUAAAAACAGAAGCAGAUGGUUGCAAUCUUAGUUAGAAGGGUUAGGAGUUUUUUUUAAAACUACACUACACAAGAAACCACUUUAAGGCCAAUAAUUUGCUCUGUUCUUUACCAUGCUCAAUAAAAAAGACCUUCCUUGCUCUGAAGAGGUUUUUGUCUUAGAUAAAAAGGGUGAC
ensembl:lncRNA